AGACCUAAUAUCAAAUGGACAGGCCCUUAGAGAGAAAUUCUGGCAUGCCGCAUAUGAAAGAGAGAGAUGGAGCUAGAUGAGUCAACGUCAAAAUCAUAUGAUCAAAACAUUGAACUCACAUUCAGAAAAUCGCUAAUUUUUCUCUCAUUCUGAAUUGAACACAUAGUUAAUCUGAUUGAUUCGAUUUGUAAAAGUGUUGAACAUUCUAAUAAAAGGAAUUAGCGAAUCCAUCUGCUAUUGCGAAAUUCAAAGUACCAUAAGAACUUAUUUUCAAAUAAAAUGCCUCACACUCGUGCAGCCUUCAAUUGUACAGCGAGAUUAGAAAAAAGCCAAAAGUUGAAAUUUCUUUCUUCACAGUUUUCCAAAGGAUGACAAAUUAAGGGAACAGUGGAUGAAAGCUGAAGAAGAAUUGAUUUCAACCCUUUUUCCUUGUUGAAAAUAUGCAGCAACCGUUUUCAUCAACAUGAUUUAUUAAUAUUCAUGGUACAAAAACUCUGAAAAAAGAUGUUAUUCCUUCAGUUUUCAGUUUCUCCAAUUAUAUGCCUGAGAGAUUAAAUUAUGGAGAUAAAUGUCUUGAAGAUAAUAUUGAAGGUACAUUAAUAUUUUAUUUUUUAUGGAUGUGAAAUAUCUAUUUAUUUUCCGUCCCUUAUUUUAUUCAUUCAUAUAAAUAAUUAUUGCAAAAGAAAUUGAACAGGAUCAGCCAGAGACAAAACAGCAAGAGAUGGGGCAACCAGAGAUGGUACAACUGUUUAUAAUAUCAAAAUCCUCUGCUGCUGCCAUGGAAGAUUUUCCCCCCAGAUUGAAUACUAAUAUUAGAAAUACUAGAAAUUAGAAACCUGGGAAUGAGGAUUUCCAAGAAUGGAACACUAGACGAAGUAAUAUCUGAGAGAAACAUCCAAAGAAAACCAAUAAUCUCAAUGUUAAGUAGGAUAUUAUCGAUUGAAAACAUAAAUCUGAAUAAUAAGUAAAAAUUUACUCAAUAGUUAGGAGCAUAAUAACAUACAGCUCUGAAGUGGACAGCAGCUGGAAAAUCUGAAAGGGACAUGAUACCAAAUGAUUCAAUAAGACAUAGAAUGGAAAUAAGACAUGAUAUUAUUGAUCUUAAGAACACAACAGUUGGUUUGGUACAGACAAGUCCAUAAAUACUUAUGAUACUAGGUGUGAUUUAAACAAUAAUAAUUUUGAAAUUUUCAGUUUUUUAGAUUGCCAUACUAAAUGAGGAACAUAUUCUGUGCCGUGGCUUAAAAAUUCAUCUUUAGAGAAGCUCAUUCACUGAAAGGCUGAAAAUGGGAAAAAUGAAUGUAUCAUAACUGAUCCUUGGAGAGAUAAGAAGAAG